rnacentral:rRNA from 1 species
AGAGUUUGAUCCUGGCUCAGAUUGAACGCUGGCGGCAGGCCUAACACAUGCAAGUCGAGCGGAAACGAGUUAUCUGAACCUUCGGGGAACGAUAACGGCGUCGAGCGGCGGACGGGUGAGUAAUGCCUGGGAAAUUGCCCUGAUGUGGGGGAUAACCAUUGGAAACGAUGGCUAAUACCGCAUAAUAGCUUCGGCUCAAAGAGGGGGACCUUCGGGCCUCUCGCGUCAGGAUAUGCCCAGGUGGGAUUAGCUAGUUGGUGAGGUAAGGGCUCACCAAGGCGACGAUCCCUAGCUGGUCUGAGAGGAUGAUCAGCCACACUGGAACUGAGACACGGUCCAGACUCCUACGGGAGGCAGCAGUGGGGAAUAUUGCACAAUGGGCGCAAGCCUGAUGCAGCCAUGCCGCGUGUAUGAAGAAGGCCUUCGGGUUGUAAAGUACUUUCAGCAGUGAGGAAGGUUCAUACGUUAAUAGCGUAUGGAUUUGACGUUAGCUGCAGAAGAAGCACCGGC